CACUUCUAGCAUUAAUAGUAUUAGAAGCACUGCCUGCCCAGUGACAUUAGUUAAACGGCCGCGGUAUCCUGACCGUGCAAAGGUAGCAUAAUCAUUUGUUCCUUAAUUAGGGACUUGUAUGAAUGGCUUGACGANNNUUNNACUGUCUCUUACUUUUAAUNANUGAAAUUGACCUUCCCGUGAAGAGGCGGGAAUAAAUUAAUAAGACGAGAAGACCCUAUGGAGCUUAAAUUAAAUUAUUCAAUUUAUAUAAAUUUUUACCUACGGGGCCAAUUCCACAAAAUCUGAAUAAUAAAUUUUGGUUGGGGUGACCUCGGAGUACAAAACAACCUCCGAGAUAUACAGCUAAGACUUACCCGUCAAAGCAUCUUUUAUUAUUGAUCCAAUUAAAUUGAUCAACGGAUCAAGUUACCCUAGGGAUAACAGCGCAAUCCUAUUUAAGAGUUCAUAUCGACAAUAGGGUUUACGACCUCGAUGUUGGAUCAGGACACCCAAAUGGUNCAGCAGCUAUUAA
rnacentral:rRNA from 1 species